GAUGAACGCUGGCGGCGUGCCUAAUACAUGCAAGUCGAGCGAACGGACGAGAAGCUUGCUUCUCUGAUGUUAGCGGCGGACGGGUGAGUAACACGUGGAUAACCUACCUAUAAGACUGAGAUAACUUCGGGAAACCGUAGCUAAUACCGGAUAAUAUUUUGAACCGCAUGGUUCAAAAGUGAAAGACGGUCUUGCUGUCACUUAUAGAUGGAUCCGCGCUGCAUUAGCUAGUUGGUAAGGUAACGGCUUACCAAGGCAACGAUGCAUAGCCGACCUGAGAGGGUGGUCGGGCACCCUGGAACUGAGAAACGGUCCAGACUCCGACGGGAGGCAGCAGUAGGGAAUCUUCCGCAAUGGGCGAAAGCCUGACGGAGCAACGCCGCGUGAGUGAUGAAGGUCUUCGGAUCGUAAAACUCUGUUAUUAGGGAAGAACAUAUGUGUAAGUAACUGUGCACAUCAUGACGGUACCUAAUCAGAAAGCCACGGCUAACUACGUG
rnacentral:rRNA from 1 species